rnacentral:rRNA from 1 species
UACCAGCACCCCGAGUGGUCGGGACGUUUUAUUGGGCCUAAAGCAUCCGUAGCCGGUUCUACGAGUCUUCCGUUAAAUCCAACUGCUUAACAGGUGGGCUGCGGAAGAUACUAUAGAGCUAGGAGGCGGGAGAGGCAAGCGGUACUCGAUGGGUAGGGGUAAAAUCCGUUGAUCCAUUGAAGACCACCAGUGGCGAAGGCGGCGUUGCCAGAACGCGCUCGACGGUGAGGGAUGAAAGCUGGGGGGAGCAAACCGG